AAAAACAAACAGCAUUGGGGAAAUUAUGAGAAUAAAUGUCGUUCAAUGUGUAGUCCAGAAGACGAGAAAACAAACAAUGACAUCAAGCAUCUGCUUCAUCUCUGAACAUCUGAAGAAAUGAAGUGAUUCGCAUGUUGGAUGACAGGAGGAUGAGUAAAUGAUGACAGCAGGUCAAAAGCAUUGCUUUUGUAACGUCAGAGGAACCAGGCAGAGAAGAGGAUCCAAGUGCAGCUUUGAAUUUAAUGAAAUAAACAAAGCCAAAAACAAACCAAUGUGAUCCACAGACCGCCGGCAGCACAAAAACAAAGCCCGAUAUACAAAGACCGACACCAAACAAAGGAAACACUAGGGCUUAAAUACAUAGAAACUAACAAGAUAACAAGACACACCUGGAGGAACUAAUUAACACUAAAAACUACAAAGGACUACAAAACAUGGCACAGAACAGGAAGUAACAGAAAAGUUCACCGACACAGGGGAAACCCGGACUGGGAUCGUGACAGCUUUCUUCACACAUUUCAAGAACACGACAGCUAAAAAAUAAUUCAGACUCAUCCUCACUUAAUAAAAUAGCACUAGCAUGAAUAGGCAUGGGGCGGUAUGAGAUUUUGAAAGGUAUGAUAACCUUUCGCAAAAGUGUCGCGGUUUCACGGUAUUGCAAUUACAACACUAAAAUGCGUUAUUUUCAAAUGUCUACAUAUACAAACAACAACUUUUCAACUGGACACAAGGACAUUUUAUUUUUAACCGACAUCCAUAGAACAUAUAUGUCAGGUAAAAAUAAAGCCUUGAAAUGACUCUUUCAACAAAUGUAUUUUUGUCAUAAAUUAGGCCUUAACAUCCAACAUUGCAUACCUUAGAAACGGUAUCACAGAAAAUGUUAUACCUUGAAACCGGUAUUCGGCUCAUGCCUAAGCGUGAACCAUGUUUAUUAUGGUACACGCUUAUGAAAGUGUCUGAGCCGCAUUUGAAACCAUCUGUCUGAUUUUUGUGUGUUUAGGUGUGUUUGUGUUAUCAUCUUUAUGGCUGUUUUGUCUUUUUUCUAACAUAUCUGUCAUUAAAGGUGCAGUGAGUGAUUUCUGA